UACGGAGGGUGCGAGCGUUGUCCGGAAUCACUGGGCGUAAAGGGCGCGUAGGCGGCCUGAUAAGUAGGGGGGUGAAACUCUGCGGCUUAACCGCAGGGCUGCCUUCUAAACUGUCGGGCUAGAGCACGGUAGAGGCAGAUGGAAUUCCCGGUGUAGCGGUGGAAUGCGUAGAGAUCGGGAAGAACAUCAGUGGCGAAGGCGGUCUGCUGGGCCGUUGCUGACGCUGAGGCGCGACAGCGUGGGGAGCAAACAGG
rnacentral:rRNA from 1 species